rnacentral:rRNA from 1 species
AGAGUUUGAUCCUGGCUCAGAUUGAACGCUGGCGGUAUGCUUUACACAUGCAAGUCGAACGGCAGCACGGGGCAACCUGGUGGCGAGUGGCGAACGGGUGAGUAACAUAUCGGAACAUAUCCGGAAGUGGGGGAUAACGUAGCGAAAGUUACGCUAAUACCGCAUAUGCCCUGAGGGGGAAAGGGGGGGAUCGCAAGACCUCUCGCUUUCGGAGUGGCCGAUAUCGGAUUAGCUAGAUGGUGAGGUAAUGGCUCACCAUGGCGACGAUCCGUAGCGGGUCUGAGAGGACGACCCGCCACACUGGAACUGAGACACGGUCCAGACUCCUACGGGAGGCAGCAGUGGGGAAUUUUGGACAAUGGGCGCAAGCCUGAUCCAGCCAUACCGCGUGAGUGAAGAAGGCCUUCGGGUUGUAAAGCUCUUUCAGCCGGGAAGAAAUCGCACUUUUUAAUACGGAGUGUGGAUGACGGUACCGGAAGAAGAAGCACCGGCUAACUACGUGCCAGCCGCCGCGGU